GUCUACGGCCAUGCUACCGUGAACAAGCCUGAUACCGUCUGAUCUCGGAAGCUAAGCAGGGUCGGGCCUGGUUAGUACUUGGAUGGGAGACCACCUAGGAAGACCAGGUGCUGUAGGCG
rfam:Pteropus alecto contig6470, whole genome shotgun sequence.